rnacentral:rRNA from 1 species
AUUGAACGCUGGCGGCAGGCCUAACACAUGCAAGUCGAACGGUAACAGGAAGCAGCUUGCUGCUUUGCUGACGAGUGGCGGACGGGUGAGUAAUGUCUGGGAAACUGCCCGAUGGAGGGGGAUAACUACUGGAAACGGUAGCUAAUACCGCAUAACGUCGCAAGACCAAAGAGGGGGACCUUAGGGCCUCUUGCCAUCGGAUGUGCCCAGAUGGGAUUAGCUAGUAGGUGGGGUAACGGCUCACCUAGGCGACGAUCCCUAGCUGGUCUGAGAGGAUGACCAGCCACACUGGAACUGAGACACGGUCCAGACUCCUACGGGAGGCAGCAGUGGGAAAUAUUGCACAAUGGGCGCAAGCCUGAUGCAGCCAUGCCGCGUGUAUGAAGAAGGCCUUCGGGUUGUAAAGUACUUUCAGCGGGGAGGAAGGGAGUAAAGUUAAUACCUUUGCUCAUUGACGUUACCCGCAGAAGAAGCACCGGCUAACUCCGUGCCAGCAGCCGCGGUAAUACGGAGGGUGCAAGCGU